GACGAACCGUCCAAACGUUAUUCGGAAUUACUGGGCUUAAAGGGUGCGUAGGCGGCGCGGAAAGUUGGGUGUGAAAUCCCUCGGCUCAACCGAGGAACUGCGCCCAAUACUGCCGUGCUCGAGGGAGAUAGAGGUGAGCGGAACUUAGGGUGGAGCGGUGAAAUGCGUUGAUAUCCUAAGGAACACCGGUGGCGAAAGCGGCUCACUGGAUCUCUUCUGACGCUGAGGCACGAAAGCUAGGGUAGCAAACGGG
rnacentral:ncRNA from 2 species